rnacentral:rRNA from 1 species
UACAGAGGUCUCAAGCGUUGUUCGGAUUCAUUGGGCGUAAAGGGUGCGUAGGCGGCGCGGUAAGUCGGGUGUGAAAUCUUGGAGCUUAACUCCGAAACUGCAUUCGAUACUGCCGUGCUUGAGGACUGGAGAGGAGACUGGAAUUUACGGUGUAGCGGUGAAAUGCGUAGAUAUCGGGAAGAACAUCGGUGGCGAAAGCGCUCUACUGGACCGCAACUGACACUCAGGGACGAAAGCUAGGGGAGCGAAUGGG